AGAAAAGAAACAGGGGACAGUAAACAGGUGAUGCUCCAAAGCAUUAGUGGACUCGAGGGACAAAAAUAUACCAUGAAAGUGCCCUCUAAGGUGCCAGCACAGUACAGCAAACAUGAUAAAAUGUCCUCUAAGGUGCCAGCACAGUACAGCAAACAUGAUAAAAUGCCAUCUAAUGUGCCCGCACAAAGGAGAAAACAUACAUGUUAUGUAAUCGCUGUCUCAGUUAUGGGUAAAUCAGGAUGAAGGGCCCUAGAGCACCUCUAUAUGUGACAAUCUGGACUGAAGUGCCCUCAUGGGUACCCUUUUAGUAGAUGAAAAUGUGAUAGUGCCCUGUAAAGUACCCCCCAAGAUGUAAUACAGCGCCCUAUGAGUUGCCGUUGUAACGGGAUGAGCUGACAGUUCUGUGCAGGUGCCCUUCAAGUGAACAGGAAAAAUUUGGGAAAGGUGCCAUUUAGGGUUCCUCUAAGACUAACAUACAGAAGUGCAGAAUUGGGUUCCCUUUCAAUAACAGAAAAACAUGGUGAAGUGCCCUCUAGGGUGUACUACUCACUAGUUUGCUCAGUCACACCCCCUUUAGAUUGUUCUAUUUUCUUUGGAUCAGCGCAGCUGUAACCUUGAUACUAUGACAUUUUGUGAGAAUGCCAAGAAGAGAAAGAAAAUUGAAGACUAUACAAAGGGAUCUGCAAAAUGCAGCUAGAGGCAGCAAGGGGGGAGAUGAGAGAGAUAAGGGUAAGUUUGCAUUAGCCAUUAGCAAUUAGAUGGGAUGCCCAGUAGAACUUAAACCUGUGCCUAGGCAUGUUGAAAGGACAAAACUCCUCAAAGUAUAUACUACAUUGCCAGUGACAACUGCAUCAGUUGACCGAUCAUUCUCCAAACUGAAGCUGAUCAAGACCCAGCUUAGAAACAGAUGUGGAGAAGGAAAGCUCUCAGAUCUUCUGCUGUUGUCCAUUGGGAGGGACAUCCCAACUGACCAUAACAAGGUCAUUAACAUUUAUAAUCUCAUGGCCAAAAGAAUUCUCCUUUGAUUUCACCAGUCUUGCUUCUUGCUUCCCCAACACUUCCUGCUUCCCUAACAAGACUGCUAAAAACAGCUAAUUCUCAAAAUGUUCAUAGUUCCAUGUUUUUACUACAGAUGUGUUUAAGAGAUACACAUUUAAAACGUUACCCAUUCCCUGUAUUUUAUUACAGAGAUGUUUGCAAAAUAAAUGUUUAAAAAGUAAAUCCUUUUUAA